AGGCAUUUCAGAAUGAGCGACUGAACCAUUUGUUUGACACAAAUAUUCAGCUUAAUUCACAACUGGACCAAACAAUUGUUCCUCGAGAGCAUACAUGUCAUGGAUUUCCAAGACUGGGUGUUUCUUAUGUUGAGGGGAGUAUCGUGGAACAGAAUGUAGAUGUGAUAGUGAAUUCAACCAAUACUACACUGAAUUUGACAGAAGGAGAUACAAGCCAAGCAAUACUUUCUGCAGCUGGACCAGACAUCGUAAAGGAAUGUCAAAGAUAUGCAAAUAGGAUCAACGACUGGGGCAUUGCUGUCACUAGUGGAGGCAAAAUAAACUGCAAGAAGAUCUAUCAUACAAGUCUUGUGAAAGCCCCAUGGUUUUCCAUUCAACAGGUUAUUUAAAAUACAGCAUUUCCUUACUUCUGU